UUCGUCUCUUCCAUGGCUAAAAUUACAGAGCCAUUAGCAAACCUCGCAAUCUUUCCAGUUUCUAAAGUAAUUUUGCGUGAUCCAAUCUCAAAUUCCUCAGUGAAUGUCUCGAGAACCUUCGUUCGAGCAACAGGAGUAUCUGUAUUGGCCACUGACGGUGAUGUGGACGGCGCAAAGCCAAGACGACCACUGCAGAUUGUACGAAAACCAAAUCUUCGCCAUGUGAGAACGUACGGUAAGUUGCAGAGAAGUGGGUUUAUUUUGUUUCUUACAGAAGCCAUUAGAGAGUUGAAAGG
rnacentral:misc_RNA from 1 species